rnacentral:lncRNA from 1 species
AUUUUAAAAAUAAAUUAUAAAAGAAAUACAAAGAAAUUCUAAAAAAAUCCUAAAAAAAUCCAAAUCAAAUCUUAAAUCCUAAAUCCUAAAUUCUAAUCAAAUCCUAACUCUAAUAAAAUCUUAAUCCUAUUCAAAAUCUAAAAUUUAAUCAAAUCUUAAUCUUAAUAAAAUUCUAAUCAAAUCCUAAUCAAAUCCUAACCAAUUCUAAUCAAAUCCAAAUCUUAACCAAAUCCUAAUCGAAUCCUAAUUAAAUCCUAAAUCAAUCCAAAAUCCUAAUCCUAACCUUAAAUCGAAUCUUAAUUAAUCUAAAGUAAUUCUUAUAUUAAAUUUAAACCUCAAUAACUAAUAAAUGAACCGUUGAUUUU